GCCUGGUUAGCUUAGUUGGUAGUGCGUCUGCCUUGUAACCGCUAGGUCGCGGGUGCGAUUCCCGCCCGGGGCG
rnacentral:tRNA from 1 species